GCGGGAGUAACUCAGUGGUAGAGUGCUAGCUUCCCAAGCUGGACGUCGCGGGUUCGAAUCCCGUCUCCCGCUC
rnacentral:tRNA from 1 species